rnacentral:sRNA from 1 species
UAUACCGAGGAAUCAGUGUUUUUCAUGGGGAGGUAAUAUCAUGAAUUUGCAUGAAUAAAAAAAAUGAUGAAUUUGUUGAGGAUGUAAAUUCGUAGGUAAGAGGUACCCAUGAAUCCCAAAGAAAUUGAUCCACCCAGAAUCCUGAUGAUCCCACAGGACUGUUGUGUUGUUUACAUGUAGUUAUAGAUAUAUAUUUUAAGAUGUCAAUGAUAAUGUGCAAAGCACCAUAGAAAUUGUGUGUCCAUCAUAAACAAGUACAAACAAAUGUACAUGUACUACAAAGUACAUGAAUUUAAAAAUGUGUUUGUUUUGUUGUGGUGACUGGUUUUUUCGUGACAACUGUACACUCGUUUAUAUCCUGAAAAAAAAAUGUUUUUAAUUUUUUGGUCAAACACAUAUCAGUCUUUUUCAAUCAUGUGUUACUUUGUGUUUUGUUCAUUAUCUGCCAGUGCUUUGUGAUUUAUUGAGACAUAUAUAUAUAUUCAUAUUGUACAUACAUCAAAGAAUAGAUCUUAGAUUUUGUUGUGGUAGUGUACGUUUAUUUCUAGUGCAUAUUGUAUGUUUUACAGAUAUUUUUACCUCACUUCAUCUUAAUCAUCAUACAUGUACAAGCCCCAAACCCACCAGGUCCUUAUACACAAACACACUUACGAAAUUUAACUGCUUUCAUUCAGUCAGGGGAUGCCUAUUUACCCUAACUGCAACUAUUGAUAUUGCCUUUUUCACAAUAUAUUUGUGUCUCCAUUUAUAUUAUUGGACAUGAACAAGGUAUUUUGAACAAAAAAGUUUUGUUUUUUAUCUAAAUGGCAAAUUCAUUAAGAAAUUUUUUUAAUAAGUAUAAGUAUAUUAAAAUGUAAGAUUUCAGUCACAACAAUAUAUCAUAUACCAGUAAACUUUAUUCCAUCACAUCAUUUGAAUAGAGAUCUUUUCAACAAUUUGUUCACUUUAAUAGAUUGUUAGCAGAUGGAUAUCUAUUUUUCUGAUUGCCAACCAGAUUAGUAUGCAACCAUUGAUAUUAUUCCCAAAAUGCACUAUCCUAGGUCAAAAUUUUGUUUUGCAUCAGGGAAGAUAACCCAUUCAGUAGGGAAAGUUAUAAAUUGCUCACUUACAUGUUUGUACUGGUUGUAAUGUGUGUGAUUUCACUUUCAUUGGGGGGAAAAUAGAUAUCAUAUAUUUUUUAAUGAAUAAUGUUUUAAAAACAUUUUUGAAGACUAAUCUACUGGUUUCAGUAGCAUAUCCCCCAUACUGAACAUCCAGACUUUUGCAAGACAUUUGCAGUUAUUGCUGAUCCUACCAGGAACAAAAAAAAAUAAUCACCAUUUGUUUUUGUUUUUUGUUUUAUUGUCACAAAAUCUCAUUAUAGAUAGUUAUUAUUUUGUAAAAAUCAUGUAUUAUAUAUAUUAAUUGUAGAUGUUUUAAAAAACCCAGAAAUGUUGUAACAUUUAAUGUUAAUCUAGCCUCAAGCUGGAUUCUAAUGGGCCAUAUUGUAUAAAAAAAUGUCAUUAAAUCUUUUAACAA